UGCGAAUGGCUCAUUAAAUCAGUUAUCGUUUAUUUGAUAGUACCUUACUACUUGGAUAACCGUGGUAAUUCUAGAGCUAAUACAUGCUAAAAAUCCCGACCCCUGGAAGGGAUGUAUUUAUUAGAUAAAAAACCAAUGCCUUCGGGCUUCUUGGUGAUUCAUGAUAACUUUACGAAUCGCAUGGCCUUGUGCUGGCGAUGGUUCAUUCAAAUUUCUGCCCUAUCAACUUUCGAUGGUAGGAUAGUGGCCUACCAUGGUUUCAACGGGUAACGGGGAAUUAGGGUUCGAUUCCGGAGAGGGAGCCUGAGAAACGGCUACCACAUCCAAGGAAGGCAGCAGGCGCGCAAAUUACCCAAUCCCGACACGGGGAGGUAGUGACAAUAAAUACUGAUACAGGGCCCUUUUGGGUCUUGUAAUUGGAAUGAGUACAAUUUAAACCCUUUAACGAGGAACAAUUGGAGGGCAAGUCUGGUGCCAGCAGCCGCGGUAAUUCCAGCUCCAAUAGCGUAUAUUAAAGUUGUUGCAGUUAAAAAGCUCGUAGUUGAACUUUGGGUCUGGGUGACUGGUCUGCGCCUUGCGCAUGUACUGGAAACCCGGAUCUUUCCUUCUGGAGAACCGCAUGCACUUUAUUGGGUGUGCCGGGGAACCAGGACUUUUACUUUGAAAAAAUUAGAGUGUUCAAAGCAGGCAUUUGCUCGAAUACAUUAGCAUGGAAUAAUAAAAUAGGACGUGCGGUUCUAUUUUGUUGGUUUCUAGGACCGCCGUAAUGAUUAAUAGGGAUAGUCGGGGGCAUCCGUAUUCGAUUGUCAGAGGUGAAAUUCUUGGAUUUUUCGAAGACGAACUACUGCGAAAGCAUUUGCCAAGGAUGUUUUCAUUAAUCAGGAACGAAAGUUGAGGGAUCGAAGACGAUCAGAUACCGUCGUAGUCUCAACCAUAAACUAUGCCGACUAGGGAUUGGGCGACUGUGUUUUUUGAGUUGCUCAGCACCUUACGAGAAAUUAAAGUUUUUGGGUUCUGGGGGGAGUAUGGUCGCAAGGCUGAAACUUAAAGGAAUUGACGGAAGGGCACCACCAGGAGUGGAGCCUGCGGCUUAAUUUGACUCAACACGGGGAAACUCACCAGGUCCAGACACAUUAAGGAUUGACAGAUUGAGAGCUCUUUCUUGAUCAUGUGGGUGGUGGUGCAUGGCCGUUCUUAGUUGGUGGAGUGAUUUGUCUGCUUAAUUGCGAUAACGAACGAGACCUUAACCUGCUAAAUAGCUGGGCUCGCUUUCGCGGGUUCUUGGC
rnacentral:rRNA from 1 species